GAUGAAGAACGCAGCGAAAUGCGAUAAGUAGGGUGAAUUGCAGAAUUCAGUGAAUUAUCGAAUCUUUGAACGCACAUUGCGCCCCUUGGUAUUCCAUGGGGCAUGCCUGUUCGAGCGUCAUUUGUACCUUCAAGCUCUGCUUGGUGUUGGGUGUUUGUCUCGCCUCUGCGUGUAGACUCGCCUCAAAACAAUUGGCAGCCGGCGUAUUGAUUUCGGAGCGCAGUACAUCUCGCGCUUUGCACUCAUAACGACGACGUCCAAAAGUACAUUUUUACACUCUUGACCUCGGAUCAGGUAGGGAUACCCGCUGAACUUAAGCAUAUCAAUAAGCGGAGGA
rnacentral:misc_RNA from 1 species